rnacentral:rRNA from 1 species
AGUUCAGAUUGUAGGCUGAAACUCGCCUAUAUGAAGUCGGAAUUGCUAGUAAUCGCGGAUCAGCAUGCCGCGGUGAAUACGUUCCCGGGCCUUGUACACACCGCCCGUCACACCAUGAGAGUCGAUAACACCCGAAGCCUGUAGUCUAACAGCAAUGAGGACGCAGUCGAAGGUGGGAUUGAUAAUUAGGGUGAAGUCGUAACAAGGUACC